AGAGUUUGAUCAUGGCUCAGAUUGAACGCUGGCGGCACGCCUAACACAUGCAAGUCGAGCGGCAGCGCGGUUAGUAGCAAUACUGACUGGCGGCGAGCGGCGGACGGGUGAGGAACACGUAGGAAUCUACCCUCAAGCGGGGGACAACCAAGGGAAACUUUGGCUAAUACCGCAUACAGUCGAGAGAUGAAAGUUGCUCGCAAGGGUGACACUUGAGGAGGAGCCUGCGUCCGAUUAGCUAGUUGGUGAGGUAAAAGCUCACCAAGGCGAUGAUCGGUAACUGGUCUGAGAGGACGACCAGUCACACUGGGACUGAGACGCGGCCCAGACUCCUACGGGAGGCAGCAGUGGGGAAUAUUGGACAAUGGGGGCAACCCUGAUCCAGCGAUGCCGCGUGAGUGAAGAAGGCCUUCGGGUCGUAAAGCUCUUUAGUUUGGGAAGAAGGUUGUAGGAGGAAAUGCUUACAACUUGACGGUACCGAAAGAAUAAGCACCGGCAAACUCUGUGCCAGCAGCCGCGGUAAUACAGAGGGUGCGAGCGUUAAUCGGAGUUACUGGGCGUAAAGGGCGCGUAGGCGGUGAUAUGAGUGUGAUGUGAAAGCCCCGGGCUUAACCUGGGAAGUGCAUCGCAAACGAUAUGACUAGAGUACAUGAGAGGGUGGCGGAAUUUCCGGUGUAGCGGUGAAAUGCGUAGAGAUCGGAAGGAACGUCAAUGGCGAAGGCAGCCACCUGGCAUGAUACUGACGCUGAGGCGCGAAAGCGUGGGGAGCGAACAGGAUUAGAUACCCUAGUAGUCC
rnacentral:rRNA from 1 species